AAUUCGAUUAGUUUGAUCCUGGCUCAGAAUGAACGCUGGCGGCGUGCUUUACACAUGCAAGUCGAGCGAGGCGUGUAGCAAUACACAGUCGAGCGGCGAACGGGUGAGUAACGCGUGGAUAACCUACCCAGAGGUGGGGGAUAACCCGGGGAAACUCGGGCUAAUACCGCAUAGGACCGUGAGGUCAAAGGCGGCUCGCAAGGGCUGUCGCCAUUGGAGGGGUCCGCGUACGAUUAGCUAGUUGGUAGGGUAAUGGCCUACCAAGGCGACGAUCGUUAGCCGGCCUGAGAGGGUGAUCGGCCACACUGGAACUGAGACACGGUCCAGACUCCUACGGGAGGCAGCAGUGGGGAAUUUUGCGCAAUGGGCUAACGCCUGACGCAGCAACGCCGCGUGGAGGAUGAAGGUCUUUGGAUUGUAAACUCCUGUCAGCAGGGAAAAAGCAACUUGGCCUAAUACGCCAGGGAGUUGAUUGUACCUGCAGAGGAAGCCCCGGCUAACUCUGUGCCAGCAGCCGCGGUAAUACAGAGGGGGCAAGCGUUAUUCGGAAUUAUUGGGCGUAAAGGGCGCGUAGGCGGCCUGGCAGUGGAAGGUGAAAUCCCUCGGCUUAACCGAGGAACUGCCUCCCAACUGCUUGGCUUGAGACCAGGAGAGGUGAGUGGAGUUCCCAGUGUAGCGGUGAAAUGCGUAGA
rnacentral:rRNA from 1 species